GGUCGGCUCGGCCGGAUUUUACACAAGUGUUGCAUGGCUGUCGUCAGCUCGUGUCGUGAGAUGUUGGGUUAAGUCCCGCAACGAGCGCAACCCUCAUCCUUAGUUGCCAUCAGGUAAUGCUGAGUACUUUAAGGAAACUGCCAGUGAUAAGCUGGAGGAAGGUGGGGAUGAUGUCAAGUCAUCAUGGCCUUUAUGGAGUGGGCUACACACGUGCUACAAUGGUGUCUACAAUGGGUUGCAAGGUCGCAAGGCUGAGCUAAUCCUAAAAAAUCAUCUCAGUUCAGAUUGUUCUCUGCAACUCGAGAGCAUGAAGUUGGAAUCGCUAGUAAUCGUGGAUCAGCAUGCCACGGUGAAUACGUUCUCGGGUCUUGUACACACUGCCCGUCACGCCAUGGGAAUUGGUUUCACUCGAAGCU
rnacentral:rRNA from 1 species